rnacentral:rRNA from 1 species
AUUGAACGCUGGCGGCAGGCCUAACACAUGCAAGUCGAGCGGAUGAAGGGAGCUUGCUCCUGGAUUCAGCGGCGGACGGGUGAGUAAUGCCUAGGAAUCUGCCUGGUAGUGGGGGAUAACGUCCGGAAACGGGCGCUAAUACCGCAUACGUCCUGAGGGAGAAAGUGGGAGAUCUUCGGACCUCACGCUAUCAGAUGAGCCUAGGUCGGAUUAGCUAGUUGGUGGGGUAAAGGCCUACCAAGGCGACGAUCCGCAACUGGUCUGAGAGGAUGAUCAGUCACACUGGAACUGAGACACGGUCCAGACUCCUACGGGAGGCAGCAGUGGGGAAUAUUGGACAAUGGGCGAAAGCCUGAUCCAGCCAUGCCGCGUGUGUGAAGAAGGUCUUCGGAUUGUAAAGCACUUUAAGUUGGGAGGAAGGGCAGUAAGUUAAUACCUUGCUGUUUUGACGUUACCAACAGAAUAAGCACCGGCUAACUUCGUG